UCCCCGGUAGCUCAGUUGGUAGAGCAGGAGACUGUUAAUCUCUUUGUCGGCGGUUCGAGUCCGUCCCGGGGAGCCA
rnacentral:tRNA from 2 species